rnacentral:rRNA from 1 species
CCUACGGGAGGCAGCAGUGAGGAAUAUUGGUCAAUGGACGAGAGUCUGAACCAGCCAAGUAGCGUGAAGGAUGACUGCCCUAUGGGUUGUAAACUUCUUUUAUAUGGGAAUAAAAUGUUCCACGUGUGGGAUUUUGUAUGUACCAUAUGAAUAAGGAUCGGCUAACUCCGUGCCAGCAGCCGCGGUAAUACGGAGGAUCCGAGCGUUAUCCGGAUUUAUUGGGUUUAAAGGGAGCGUAGGUGGAUUGUUAAGUCAGUUGUGAAAGUUUGCGGCGCAACCGUAACAUUGAAGUUGAAACUGGCAGUCUUGAGUACAGUAGAGGUGGGCGGAAUGCGUGGUGUAGCGGUGAAAUGCUUAGAUAUCACGAAGAACUCCGAUUGCGAAGGCAGUUCACUGGACUGCAACUGACACUGAGGCUCGAAAGUGUGGGUAUCAAACAGGAUUAGAUACCCCAGUAGUC